rnacentral:ribozyme from 16 species
AUAAUAAAAGACUGUUAGGAGAUUGAAGUAAGAAAAAGUUUGAUGAGGUGUAAUGGAGAUGAUGAAAAAAUGCCGAUCAGUUUAUUGUUUUUUAUUCUCUCAUUUUCUUUUGAUCUUU